AACCCUUUGUAAAAUCUCUGCUACCUUGUUUGAAUCUUGUUGUAGUAUCGAUUCCCUCCUGUAAACUCAUCUCCCAAUCUCCCAUUCUAGCUCUCAAACCCUUUGUAAAUCACAAAGAGAGGAAGUUGCAAGACGAUCAGCCUUGCCCGACAAGGUGAAACCUUGCCCGACCCUCUUUGUUCUGUCUUUUCAUUCAUAAAUCUAGUAAUAUGAUGUAUACUUCCAUCUGUA
rnacentral:lncRNA from 1 species